rnacentral:rRNA from 1 species
CGCGUAGGCGGAUAGUUAAGUCCGGUGUGAAAGAUCAGGGCUCAACCCUGAGAGUGCAUCGGAAACUGGUUAUCUUGAGGACAGGAGAGGAAAGUGGAAUUCCACGUGUAGCGGUGAAAUGCGUAGAUAUGUGGAGGAACACCAGUGGCGAAGGCGACUUUCUGGACUGUAACUGACGCUGAGGCGCGAAAGCGUGGGGAGCAAACAGGAUUAGAUACCCUGGUAGUCCACGCUGUAAACGAUGAGUGCUAGGUGUAGAGGGUAUCGACCCCUUCUGUGCCGCAGUUAACACAAUAAGCACUCCGCCUGGGGAGUACGGCCGCAAGGUUGAA